GACGAACGCUGGCGGCGUGCCUAAUACAUGCAAGUAGGACGAAGUUGCGAACGGGAGAGUAACGCGUAGGUAACUGCCUAUUAGAGGGGGAUAACUAUUGGAAACGAUAGCUAAUACCGCAUACUAGUAGAUGGACCUGCGUUGUAUUAGCUAGUGGGGAGGGUAAGGGCCUACCUGGGCGAGGAUACAUAGCGGACCUGGAGGGGGGAUCGGUCAAACUGGGACUGGUGCACGGGCCAGACUCCUACGGGUGGCAGCAGUGGGGAAUCUUUGGGAAUGGGGGGAACCCUGACCGGGCAACGCCGGGUGAGUGAAGAAGGUUUUCGGGGCUGAAAGCUCUGUUGUUAAGGAAGCGGUACUUAACCAGAAAGGGACGGCUAACUACGUGCCAGCAGCCGCGGUAAUAC
rnacentral:rRNA from 1 species